AGGUAUCACAUGCCAAGUUUGGCC
rnacentral:siRNA from 1 species